rnacentral:rRNA from 1 species
GACGAACGCUGGCGGCGUGCCUAACACAUGCAAGUCGAACGGAAAGGUCCGGCCUUUGUGGGGUGCUCGGGUGGCGACCGGGUGAGUAACACGUGAGUACCCUGUCACUCCCUGUGGGAUAACUUCAUGAAACUGGGUCUAAUACCGGAUAGGAGCUCUUGCUGCAUGGUGGGGGCUGGAUAGUUUCGGCGGUUGGGGAUGGACUCGCGGCUCAUCAGGUUGAUGGUGGGGUAGUGGGUUAGCAAGGCCUUGACGGGUAGCCGGCCUGGGAGGGGGACCGGCCACAUUGGGACUGGGAUGCGGCCCAGACUCCAACGGGAGGCAGCAGUGGGGAAGAUUGCACAAGGGGCGGAGGCCUGAUGCAGCAACGCCGCGUGCGGGAUGACGGCCUGCGGGUUGUAAACCGCUGUCGCCUGUGACGAAGCGUGAGUGACGGUACUGGGUAAAGAAGCACCGGCUAACUACGUG